ensembl:snoRNA SNORD115 Small nucleolar RNA SNORD115
GGGUCAAUGAUGAGAACUCAUACUGUUUUGAAGACAGAUGAUGACUUAAGAAUUAUAUUCAGUAGGAUUACAAUGAGGCCC